rnacentral:rRNA from 1 species
UACAGAGGUCCCAAGCGUUGUUCGGAUUCACUGGGCGUAAAGGGUGCGUAGGCGGUCGGGUAAGUCUGAUGUGAAAUCUCACAGCUUAACUGUGAAACUGCAUUGGAUACUAUCCGGCUAGAGGAAUGGAGGGGAGACUGGAAUACUUGGUGUAGCAGUGAAAUGCGUAGAUAUCAAGUGGAACACCAGUGGCGAAGGCGAGUCCCUGGACAACACCUGACACUGAGGCACGAAAGCUAGGGGAGCAAACAGG